rnacentral:tRNA from 1 species
UUCUUGACAGUCCAGUGGUUAGGACUCUGCACUUUCACUGCUGUGAAUCUGGGUUCAAUCCCUGUUUGGGGA